CCUGCAGGCCGCCUUAUCGCCGUUCCGAAAGGAAGGGAGGAAAGUCCGGGCACCAUAGGGCAGCAUAGCGGGUAACGCCCGCCGGCUCCGCAAUCGCGGGGUCAGGACAAGUGCAACAGAAAGUAUGUACAGGUAAUGCUGUAGUGAAACCAGGUAAACUCUAUGCGGUGAAAUAUCAAGUAUAUCAGCAUUUAAGGGCUGCCCGUCCGUUGCUGAAGGGUAGAUAGAUUGAUCCCGUUGGCAACAGCGGGACUAGAUAAAUGAUAAGGAUUCCAUAUCAAAAUUGGGAUACAGAACCCGGCUUACAGGCCUGCUUUUUUU
rnacentral:RNase_P_RNA from 1 species